AGUUUGUUACCACCCAACAGCCAAUACCAUAUGAUCUGGCAGAAAAAAUUCAAAGUACUGGAAGAAAAAUUCAUGCUUUUAACAUUUAUGAACAUUAUUGGCAGAACCAAACACCUGUAGUUCGACAAAAUCAGCAGUUCCAACAAGUUUACCAGAGAAAGCUUUCUGGCUUUCCUAAUUCAAGUUAUCAGUUCCUCCAGAAACAGCAAGGUUAUUCUAACCCAAACACCCAGGAUCAUUAUCCUCCUAGUAAAGUCCCAAACAGGAACUUUCCUACAUUUGUUCAUGACCCAGAUGUUCAGUGGAGGUUCACACAAGUCGGCACUGCUCGAGUGCCUCAAGCAAUUUUUCCUAGUGGGGUCACUAUCACACCUGUUCUAUCAGGUAGUAAUAGUGAAAACAUAGAAAAUAUAAAAUCUCGGCCUAUUAUAACAGAAGUUGAUGAUACAGAAAACAUUCCAAGCCAGUCAUGUAAAACUCCAUCAUCAGUGACAAUAGAGGAAAUCUAAUAGUAGCAUCCAGCUAUGAGACUGUAAUAUAGGAGAGAAUGUCUGUUACUUUAGACAUAAUGGAAAAUUCAAGGUAGAGAAAAUGACUUUAGUAAAGACGUUAGAAACUCUAACUGUAAUAAUUUUCCACAUAAGUUGUGAUAAGAUUAUUUUAUAAGCUAUAAUUUUUUCAUUCUGUCUAUGUUUCAUAGGAGCAGAAGAACUUACAUUUACCACAUGUUUUGUUGUAAUUCCAAAGUGAUAAAUGUUAAAGGUAUUGUGAACAUCAAGGUAGGUCCUACAACAAAUAAGGAAAUGCAGUGUUAAAGGUAUUGUAGGACCUACCUUGCUGUUCACAACAAAUAAAGGAAAUGCAGUGUUAAAGGUAUUCAGCAAGGUAGGUCCUACUUCACAACAAAUAAAGAAAUGCUUUUUAUAUAGCUUUAUUUGAUCACAAGGAUUUGUGAGCUGUUUGUUGUGAAUGACAAACUAAGAUACACACAUAUAUAUAUGUUACAUAAUAGUUGUGUUGUAAUGGUCUAAAAUAACACAUCACUAUAACCAGGGUUCAACAAAACACAAUUUAUCAAACUGCAACAACACUUGGAGUAAAAUUUAGCAUUUCCCCAAAACACAGAUAAUUGAUACAUGCCUGGCCAGAACUUGAUAUUAAUGUUAAUGCAAUAAAGUAUAAAUAUGAAAUAUAAUUAUUUCAAAUAAUGGAAUCAGGAAAACAAAAACAACAGAAGAAGGAAAACCUAAUUCCAAAAAGAAAAAAACACAAUAUUCCAAAAUCAUUUUUCUAUAUUAAUAACAAUAUCAAGUGACAAACAGCAAUAAUUCACUAGUUAUAUCAUUCACUAACUUUGUGACUUAGUUUAUGUAGCUUAUGGCAGAGUAUUUAUUCACUCUGCUAGGUCACAAAAGUAAAUCUCAUGUGAUCAUAAA